rnacentral:rRNA from 2 species
GUGGCAGACGGGUGAGUAACACGUGGGAACCUACCCAAAGGUACGGAAUAACACAGGGAAACUUGUGCUAAUACCGUAUGUGCCCUUCGGGGGAAAGAUUUAUCGCCUUUGGAUGGGCCCGCGUCGGAUUAGCUAGUUGGUGGGGUAAUGGCCUACCAAGGCGACGAUCCGUAGCUGGUCUGAGAGGAUGAUCAGCCACACUGGGACUGAGACACGGCCCAGACUCCUACGGGAGGCAGCAGUGGGGAAUAUUGGACAAUGGGCGCAAGCCUGAUCCAGCCAUGCCGCGUGAGUGAUGAAGGCCUUAGGGUUGUAAAGCUCUUUCAGCUGGGAAGAUAAUGACGGUACCAGCAGAAGAAGCCCCGGCUAACUUCGUGCCAGCAGCCGCGGUAAUACGAAGGGGGCUAGCGUUGUUCGGAAUCACUGGGCGUAAAGCGCACGUAGGCGGAUCGAUAAGUCAGGGGUGAAAUCCCGAGGCUCAACCUCGGAACUGCCUUUGAUACCGUCGAUCUUGAGUCCGGGAGAGGUGAGUGGAACUCCGAGUGUAGAGGUGAAAUUCGUAGAUAUUCGGAAGAACACCAGUGGCGAAGGCGGCUCACUGGCCCGGUACUGACGCUGAGGUGCGAAAGCGUGGGGAGCAAAC